rnacentral:rRNA from 1 species
GACGAACGCUGGCGGCGUGCCUAAUACAUGCAAGUAGAACGCUGAAGAGAGGAGCUUGCUCUUCUUGGAUGAGUUGCGAACGGGUGAGUAACGCGUAGGUAACCUGCCUUGUAGCGGGGGAUAACUAUUGGAAACGAUAGCUAAUACCGCAUAACAAUGGAUGACACAUGUCAUUUAUUUGAAAGGGGCAAUUGCUCCACUACAAUAUGGACCUGCGUUGUAUUAGCUAGUAGGUGAGGUAAUGGCUCACCUAGGCGACGAUACAUAGCCGACCUGAGAGGGGGAGCGGCCACACUGGGACUGAGACACGGCCCAGACUACUACGGGAGGCAGCAGUAGGGAAUCUUCGGCAAUGGGGGCAACCCUGACCGAGCAACGCCGCGUGAGUGAAGAAGGGUUUCGGAUCGUAAAGCUCUGUUGUAAGUCAAGAACGGGUGUGAGAGUGGAAAGUGCACACUGUGACGGUAGCUUACCAGAAAGGGACGGCUAACUACGUG